AUUGCACGCUGGUGGCAGGCCUAACACAUGCAAGUCGAACGAGUGGCGGACGGGUGAGUAAUGUCUGGGAAACUGCCUGAUGGAGGGGGAUAACUACUGGAAACGGUAGCUAAUACCGCAUACCCUCAGAUGUGCCCAGAUGGGAUUAGCUUGUGGGUGGGGUAACGGCUCACCAAGGCGACGAUCCCUAGCUGGGCGUAGAGGAUGACCAGCGACACGUGAACUGAGCCACUGUCCAGACGCCUACGAGACGGAGCAGUGGGGAAUAUUGCUCAGUGGGCGCAAGCCUGAUGCAGCCAUGGCGCGUGUAUGAAGAAGGCCUUCGGGUUGUAAAGUACUUUCAGCGGGUAGGCGUUACCCGCAGAAGAUGCACCGGCUAACUCCGUGCCAGCAGCCGCGGUAAUUC
rnacentral:rRNA from 1 species